rnacentral:tRNA from 1 species
GGUAAAAUGGCUGAGGUUAGGCAAUAAAUUGUAAAUUUAUUAACAAAGAUUUUCUUUUUUUAUCA